rnacentral:misc_RNA from 1 species
AUAUAUAUAUAUAUUAUUAUCAGACGUUGUACACGCCUGUGAACACAUUCUAUUGAACUAAAGUCGUUGAAAUAACAUAGAACCGAGCUUUUGAGGCGAGCGAACGCCUCUGAUAAUCGGCUCGGAACUACAGAUGGUGCACAAGUGUGAAGGAUGGGAUGUGAACAAGCGUGCACAUGCCCCCGAAAGGAGCCAGCAGCAGCCUGCUUCAACAACUCAGUAAUGAUCCUUCCGCAGGUUCACCUACGGAAA